rnacentral:tRNA from 2 species
GUCUUCAUGGCUUAGUUGGUUAAAGCGUCGGUCUCAUAAUCCGAAGGUCGCGAGUUCGACUCUCGCUGAGGACA